UACGUAGGGCGCAAGCGUUGUCCGGAAUUAUUGGGCGUAAAGAGCUCGUAGGCGGUUUGUCGCGUCUGCUGUGAAAACCUAAGGCUCAACCUUUGAAAGCCGAUGGAUACUGUGAGACUAGAGUACGGAAGAGGCGAGUGGAAUUCCUGGUGUAGCGGUGGAAUGCGCAGAUAUCAGGAGGAACACCAAUAGCGAAGGCAGCUCGCUGGGACGUUACUGACACUGAGGCGCGAAAGCGUGGGGAGCGAACAGG
rnacentral:rRNA from 1 species